GGAAUUAUGGCUGAGAGGUUUAUAGCGUUGGUUUGCUAAAUCAAUAUAUAAGUUACGAUCUUAUAUCGUGGGUUCGAAUCCCACUAUUUCCG
rnacentral:tRNA from 1 species